rnacentral:rRNA from 1 species
GACAGAGGGUGCAAACGUUGCUCGGAAUCACUGGGCGUAAAGGGCGUGUAGGCGGGAAGGAAAGUCAGAUGUGAAAUCCCCCAGGCUCAACCUGGGAACUGCAUUUGAAACUCCCUUUCUUGAGUACCGGAGAGGAAAGUGGAAUUCCUGGUGUAGAGGUGAAAUUCGUAGAUAUCAGGAGGAACACCAGUGGCGAAGGCGGCUUUCUGGACGGUAACUGACGCUGAGACGCGAAAGCGUGGGGAGCAAACAGG